CCUACGGGAGGCAGCAGUCGAGAAUCAUUCACAAUGGGGGAAACCCUGAUGGUGCGACGCCGCGUGGGGGAAUGAAGGUCUUCGGAUUGUAAACCCCUGUCAUGUGGGAGCAAAUUAAAAAGAUAGUACCACAAGAGGAAGAGACGGCUAACUCUGUGCCAGCAGCCGCGGUAAUACAGAGGUCUCAAGCGUUGUUCGGAAUCACUGGGCGUAACGCGUGCGUAGGCUGUUUCGUAAGUCGUGUGUGAAAGGCGCGGGCUCAACCCGCGGACGGCACAUGAUACUGCGAGACUAGAGUAAUGGAGGGGGAAGCGGAAUUCUCGGUGUAGCAGUGAAAUGCGUAGAUAUCGAGAGGAACACUCGUGGCGAAGGCGGGUUCCUGGACAUUAACUGACGCUGAGGCACGAAGGCCAGGGGAGCGAAAGGGAUUAAUACCCGAGUAGUC
rnacentral:rRNA from 1 species